CCUAACCCCGUCUGAGGGCAUUCCUCAGGCUCUGCAUCUGCAGACAGGAAAGAACAGGAACUAUUCCUCCCUGUCUGCCCAGGCUCCCUGCAGCACCUGCGAUCACACUCUCCAGACCCAGAAGCCCAUCUACCAGCCAUGAGCAGCCUGGCAGCUGUGUACCACAGGAUCUGGGGAAGUGGUCUUGCUCUUCUAGGUGAUGGCUCACCACUUCUGAGAUCAUUUCAAGAUGGAUCCCUACAUAGAGAUGCAGUUCCUGUAGCAGCCGGGGGAGCAGCCGAGUGAAGAGCCUACCUAGAAGAGGAAAGGCCCUUCUGGUAGAGGCCUAGAGGGGUGGCGUGGCUUGGGUCUUCUGGCCCUUCCAUAGAAAAGAUGCCAGUGUACCUUGGGCACUGAUAUCUCCUAGCAACACUGUGAGGGAGAGGUAUUCUCCCACCUCAGGAACUCAGCAGGGCUCAAUGCAAGGCGUGGGAUUUGCCCUUGUUACACAGAAUAGUGGGGAGCUCAGCCUGCCCUGGACCUCCAUUCCCCCACCUCCUCUGCAGUCUUCUUUGUGACCUGGCAGGACAUUGGGGUUGGGAGGGAGUAGAGAGCUGCCAGGGGACCUAGGGAGAAAGAGAGACCAUGGGGUAGGGAAGCUGGGCAUCUACCUUUCCUUGGAGUGGUCUAGAAGACAGGCCAGUAGUUGAGUUCAUGAACAGAGAGGAAGGUUCGAGAACUUCCUGAAAUGUCUAGUCCUCCCUGCCUCUCUGGUGCUUGACCAAGGGCUCCUGAGCAGUUGUGUGCUAGUGGACUGCAGAUGUGGUUCAUGGGAGGCUGAGGAACUACGGGCUGAAACCCAUGGUUUAUAUGGCCCUGUUUCUCUGUUCCUAGGCUUGCAGCCCCAUCCCUAGCAUCACAUGGGAAAAAUCUCCUCCAGAUAGGUGGAGGACAGUCUGUCCAGGAGGCCCUGCAUAGGCUAGAGUCUCCAAAUGCCCAAGGACAGCCCAAGGGAUACUUUUACUACUUAUCCAACACUCCCCCAGCUUUUCUGAUGCUGGUAUCUCAAAGUCUGUGCAUUCCAUUCCUGAUGCAGAAACCUUCAGCAUGCCAGCCAGCCCCAGGGACAGAGUGACUCAUCUGCCUACUUGGAGUCAGAGACCCAAAUGGAGAUCUGUCUCAGCUGAAGGACACAAGCUGAAAAGUGGCUGCCACAUGUUCUCCGCUCUUUGCCAUAGCCCAGGACCCGAUGGCUUCCUUCUGCCAAGUCUCGCUGAGUAGUCUGUAUAUGUAUGUUUGAAUGCAUGUGUGCACGCCUGUGUGUAAACAUGUGUGAUGGAGAUGGAGCUGUUGGGUAGCGACAAGAGCUCCUGGGAAUCUCCUGUUUUCUGUGUACAGGAGGGAUCAUGGACUACUUGGAGAAAUGGGUAUGGAGUCUGAGGCCCUGCCUUCUUAGACCUCCCAGUCCAGGGACGUCCCUCCCUGCUCAUGCUCAGGCAUGGACUAUGGUGUGAGGUCAGAGGCACUGGCAUUGGACUGGAUUCUGGGCCCAGUGGCGUCAGUCAGGAGACGGGGAUAGAAGGAGGACUCAGCUUUGUGUUCCUGUCCCAUUCUGGCCCUGAGUAGUCUGAGCUUCUGCGUCCCCCCCUCCCCCUGGGCUCCUUUUGUUCCUCCAUGGUGCCCUCGCUGUGUGAUGGGGUGGUGAUGCACUUUAUUUCCUUGCAGUCUGCAUUGCAGGCUGCGGAGCUUCGAUCAGUUCGGAGACUUGACCUGGAUGAGCGUACAUUUCCUUGUGUGAUGAACUCCGCAUUGCCAGUGUUGUCUGGUCAGAGAUGCAGUUCCGAUGUUGUCACUUGUUGUUGUCUCCCAAAGUUAGAAGAAAAUCCUCGAGUUCAGUACACCAAAUACUGCCUGCA